ensembl:lncRNA
UGCUCCAUUUUGUAACUGAAGAUAGAUUUUGGCCCUUCUGAAAACUUGACCCAAAUGUGCAGAUACGUUGCAGACAUCCAGGUCCCUGCCAUGGGAAGUAUUAGCAGAUCCAGCUUUAAUGAGGCAAUAUAAAAUGAGGAAUCUUGAUGUCAAAAAUAAAAAGAAUUCCAGUUGAUGUUAUAAGCAUAACCAUGGGCUGAAUGCAUAAACUUUUCAAGGUUUAGUACAUAAGACAUUUUUUUUCAGGUUCAGACAUCAGCUAUGACAGAUCCAUGGCUUGAAGGUGUGGAUAAUGAUGAUUAAUAACAGUGAACGAAAUUCUUAUGGGUCACAAAGUUCCACAAACAUCAUCCCACGUGUGGCUCAGUGAGUUCUCUCAUUCCAUGGAAACUCUCCCUGGGAUGGCUCAACAAGCUCUGAACAGGCCUUCACCCUGCAGGCUAGCCCAGACCAUCUUCCAUUCUUGCUUCCAGGGAAAUAUUCCUAGAACAGCCCUGAUCAUAUCACACUCCCAGAUGAAAACCACCUGAGAGAGAUCCCUCGCCUACACAGAGCUUCUCAAUGUUUUCAUCAAAGGGCUUCUGAGAGAUGAAACUGCACCUCCAAGGAAGCUGUAGCAAGGCCUGAAAAUGUAUUUGAACUUUUUAAAUUCAGUUCCAAAAAAUGAUGUCAUGUUUUGUUUUUAUUUUGUAAUAUGUUCUUGCUGGUUUUAAUAACGUCCUAAUGGGCUUAACUCAUGUUCUAGGAAGACAUGCCACAUUGAGCCAGGCUUCCUGCUUAUGGAGAAUGAAUGAGAUCUAAGUGUUCUGAGGGCUGCCACCAUUCCCAGAAUGAGAUUUUCAUAUGGAAGGGAAAUGAAAUCUCUCUCUCUCCUUUCCAAAACCUUCUUUUUCUCUAGGACUCUCUCUGCCUCUCCCUACUGUCCCUUGUAGAGGCCAAGAGAUGCAGAAAGAGUUACUUGGUCCAUGAGACUACCUUGCCUUUCCACAUGCCAGCCCUUCCUCACUGAGUAUCCUCCUUCCCUGGCUCUCUGGCCAACUCCUCUAUAAGCUCUUAUGUUACGGCACCCACCACGUCCUAUUUUCAGCAGUGGUUAAGGAGUUUUCAGUCUGUAACUAAAUUGUGAAUCUUCUGAGGGCAAGAGCUAAGUCUGAUUUAUGAGUGAGAGUUUUCCAUUUACUGUUGUGUAAUAAAUUACCCCCAAACCUAGAGGCUUUAAAAAAAACAAUUAUUUUAUUUUGCUCACAAUUAUGUGGGUCAAGAAUCCAGAAAGGGGCCAGGCAUGGUGACUCACAUCUAUAAUCCCAGCACUUUGGGAGGCGGAAACCAGUAGAUAGCCUGAGGUCAAGAGUUCGAGACCAGCCUGACCAACAUGGUGAAACCCCCGUCUCUACUAAAUACAAAAAAACAGCUCAGAGUGGUAGGACCCAUCUGUAAUCCCAGCUACUUGGGAGGCUGAGGCAGAAUAAUUGCUUGAGCCUGGGAGGCAGAGGUUGUAGUGAGCUGAGAUUGCACCAUUGCACUCCAGCCUGGGCAACAAAAGCAAAACUCCAUUUCAAAAAAAAAAAAAGAAAGAAAGAAUUCAGAAAGGGCUCAGCUGAGCCUUGUUCCUUGCAGUUUGCCAUCACAUAUCA